rnacentral:misc_RNA from 1 species
UUUUUUGUUAUGUUUUGUUUACAUUCUUUAACUCAUGUUUAAAAAGAGCCGCAUCGAGUCAACUUCAGCCGUUUCCAGCGUCCGUUUCUUCAAUGCCGAAAGGUGCACAGAGUUGGAGAGUGGAGGUCAGGCCUCUCAAGCUUGUUAAAAGCGAGAAGAGCGCCCUAAAAUUCACUAAUGAUCCUUCCGCAGGUUCACCUACGGAAA